rnacentral:lncRNA from 1 species
UCAAGUUCUGAGAUUUAGGAAGGGGCAAGCUACAGGGCACGCGCAGUAGAAAGAUAAGAACUAAACUUCCAUCAAGCCCUUUUGGCAAAAUCAUCGGUAUCAUCAUUGUCAUCCCUUCCUUCCGCAGAGUCUUCAAAACCUCCCAAAUCUCCAUCUACAUUGCUACUUCCCUUGCUAUCCAACCCCCCACUUCCAUCAUGUUCACCACCAAAGUUGGUGCCAAUACCUCCAUCAAAUCCACUACUGGCAAAAUCAGUGUUGCCAACACUACCACCAGCAAAACUUCCAUGACGCCCAACACCCCCAGCAUCACCAAAAUGUCCAC